AUUUCAAUGCCAAAACCAAUAAAUUCUGUCAAGUAGAAUUAAUAUUAAAUUAUCAUAGUCUAUAGGAAGUGGUGCAGUAAAUAAAGUGUGGGACUCGCAAGCAAGAGGUUCCAAGUUCAAUAUCUGGCAGCACAAGUACCACAGUGAUAUCUGGUUGUUCUUUCUCUCCUAACUCUUUCAUUAAUAGAUAAAUAAAAUCUUUAAAAAAAAGAAGAGGAGGAGGAAGAGAAGGAUGAAGAGGAGGUACUCAUAGUGGCAGGAAAUUCUUUCAAAGAUAAACUAUGUCACCCAUGUCACCAUUCUCUUUAACCUGCUUCCCAACAUAGGAGCUGGAACACAGGGUAAUUCAACUGAAGGAAAGCAGUGGAGAUAAAUCCUGUGCUAACAAAAGACCUACACAGAACUGAGACUUAGAACUAAAUCAAGACUUGCUGAUCUCGCCUUAUCAUAUUUGCUGCCCUAUUGUCCAUGUGUUUAUUCAACACACAUUGUUGAAGCCCACAGAGGUCACACUCUCAAGGUACUUUCAGAUUGGAGGAAGGGAAAGGGAUUGAGAUGGGGAUUGGGGUGGGAGACAGGAAUUAAGGAGGGUGUGUGUAUGUGCAGAGAGAGCAAUAUAUUCGUCAAUGAAAUGUUAUACAUUGCAGAGA